rnacentral:rRNA from 1 species
AUUGAACGCUGGCGGCAGGCCUAACACAUGCAAGUCGAGCGGAUGAAGGGAGCUUGCUCCUGGAUUCAGCGGCGGACGGGUGAGUAAUGCCUAGGAAUCUGCCUGGUAGUGGGGGAUAACGUCCGGAAACGGGCGCUAAUACCGCAUACGUCCUGAGGGAGAAAGUGGGGGAUCUUCGGACCUCACGCUAUCAGAUGAGCCUAGGUCGGAUUAGCUAGUUGGUGGGGUAAAGGCCUACCAAGGCGACGAUCCGUAACUGGUCUGAGAGGAUGAUCAGUCACACUGGAACUGAGACACGGUCCAGACUCCUACGGGGGCAGCAGUGGGGAAUAUUGGACAAAGGGCGAAAGCCUGAUCCAGCCAUGCCGCGUGUGUGAAGAAGGUCUUCGGAUUGUAAAGCACUUUAAGUUGGGAGGAAGGGCAGUAAGUUAAUACCUUGCUGUUUUGACGUUACCAACAGAAUAAGCACCGGCUAACUUCGUG